rnacentral:rRNA from 1 species
AUGAACGCUGGCGGCGUGCCUAAUGCAUGCACGUCGAGCGAACAGACGAGGAGCUUGCUCCUCUGACGUUAGCGGCGGACGGGUGAGUAACACGUGGAUAACCUACCUAUAAGACUGGGAUAACUUCGGGAAACCGGAGCUAAUACCGGAUAAUAUAUUGAACCGCAUGGUUCAAUAGUGAAAGACGGUUUUGCUGUCACUUAUAGAUGGAUCCGCGCCGCAUUAGCUAGUUGGUAAGGUAACGGCUUACCAAGGCAACGAUGCGUAGCCGACCUGAGAGGGUGAUCGGCCACACUGGAACUGAGACACGGUCCAGACUCCUACGGGAGGCAGCAGUAGGGAAUCUUCCGCAAUGGGCGAAAGCCUGACGGAGCAACGCCGCGUGAGUGAUGAAGGUCUUCGGAUCGUAAAACUCUGUUAUUAGGGAAGAACAAAUGUGUAAGUAACUAUGCACGUCUUGACGGUACCUAAUCAGAAAGCCACGGCUAACUACGUG